rnacentral:rRNA from 1 species
CCCAGACUCCUACGGGAGGCAGCAGUGGGGGAUAUUGCACAAUGGGGGGAACCCUGAUGCAGCGACGCCGCGUGGGUGAAGAAGCGCCUCGGCGCGUAAAGCCCUGUCAGCAGGGAAGAAAAUGACGGUACCUGAAGAAGAAGCCCCGGCUAACUACGUGCCAGCAGCCGCGGUAAUACGUAGGGGGCAAGCGUUAUCCGGAUUUACUGGGUGUAAAGGGGGCGCAGACGGCGAUGCAAGCCAGGAGUGAAAGCCCGGGGCCCAACCCCGGGACUGCUCUUGGAACUGCGUGGCUAGAGCGCAGGAGGGGCAGGCGGAAUUCCUGGUGUAGCGGUGAAAUGCGUAGAUAUCAGGAGGAACACCGGUGGCGAAGGCGGCCUGCUGGACUGCAACUGACGUUGAGGCCCGAAAGCGUGGGGAGCAAACAGGAUUAGAUACCCCCGUAAAA